rnacentral:tRNA from 1 species
GCUUGUUAGCUCAGUUGGUAGAGCGCUCCGCUGGAAAUGGAGAGCUCCGUGGUUUGAUACCAAGACCAUGCG